AUUGAACGCUGGCGGCAGGCCUAACACAUGCAAGUCGCACGAGUGGCGGCCGGGUGAGUAAUGUCUGGUAACCUGCCUGCUGGAGGGGGAUACCUACUGGAAACGGUAGCUAAUCCCGCAUCCCAUCGGAUGUGCCCAGAUGGGAUUAGCUCGUGGGUGGGGUAAAGGCUCACCUAGGCGACGAUCCCUAGCUGGUCUGAGAGGAUGACCAGCAACACUGGAACUAAGACACGGUCCAGACUCCUACGGGAGGCAGCAGUGGGGAAUAUUGGACGAUGGGCGCAAGCCUGAUGAAGCCAUGCCGCGUGUAUGAAGAAGGCCUACGGGUUGUAAAGUACUUUCAGCGGGGAGGCGGUACCCGCAGAAGAAGCACCGGCUAACUCCGUGCCAGCAGCCGCGGUAAUAC
rnacentral:rRNA from 1 species